GUAGUUGCAGUUUUAACUCCCAAUAGUGGGUGGGGUUUAAUUUAAAGUGAGAUUUAAGGAGCGUAGGUGUAAAAAAUGUGGAUAAGUUUUGCGUCUUUAUUGGUAUUUGCAGGAAUACCACUUGCAAAUAGAUUUUUAGAUAGUUUGUCUAAUAUAUGUUUCUUCAGAUUUUUUUUUUCAAACAUAGUCCUUUUUUUAAAAUUCAUUGAAAGAUGAAAUAUCCAAGAGGACUAUACAACACUAUGUAAAGGGCUAAGAACUUUAGAAAAGAGUUUGAAGUCACAGAUGAGGAGAGCUACAGUACUGUUACGGUAUUGUAAGCAUCUUAGUUGCAAGAAAACACUUUGGAAAAGAAAGAGAUGAAGACACAAGUGUUUUUGUCUUUUUUUCGCCUCUCUAUGUAAACUGCACCAGAAGCAUUGUGAGUUCUCAUUUGGUGUUUUUGAACAGUGGCCAAUAUCUGAAUAUGAAAAGAACAUUGAAGAUUGCAGCAGACAAUUCAUUUUAUAUGACUUUCAUGCUUUUGUGCUUUUAUAUGGUAAUGCCAGUCAGUUAUUGAAAACUGAAGUUCAUUUUGGCUAGCUUCUUUUCGAAGGGUUAUGACUUCUCACAUUCAUAUGAAUGGGGACACACAUUUAUCUUCCAUCAUAGUUAAAGACAGUAUUGCAUCUUAGAGGAUUUCUUUUCCUUUUGGACAAAGUAAAGACAGAAGUAAUAGGCAUGCUAACAAGGGCAGAAUUGAGAACUUGGGGUAGAAUGUGCCCAGACAGAAUUGUUCUGAGAGAGACACUACAAUGUAUAUAAAAUUUUGCACUCACACAUCUAAACUAGUACAAUAAUUAAAUUUGAAAUGCUAUUGCCAACCCAGGCAGAAUAGGGAGUGAAGACUGAGGCUGUAGCUGUACCAGGCUGGUACAGCUGAAAGACUGGUGUGAAGAGGAAGAUUAUUAACCAGGGGAUUAAGAAAGCAGUCAAGUUAAACAAGAAGAUAUAGAUGUCUAAUUAUUAACGUAAGAUUCCUGUGUGGGAAUAUAUGCAGAAAAUGAAGGGCUACUUUGGUAUUCCCUUACAGAAAGUGGACUGGUGGCUCUGAAGAUAGUGGAGCAAAACCUGAAGAAUUACUCAGAGGUGCAAGAUGAAGUGUGAAAUUCUGUGGACCUUGAGACUGCUUUGAACUGUUACCAGUAGUUCCUAACAUUUAGAGACAGAGACAUAUUGUGGAUCCAUGUAUGUUUUUGCAACUCCCUGUGUUUUUCAUUAUGUCAUGGUGAAUGAUUCUGGGACAUUUCAAGUUGAUUUGUGUUAAAAAA